rnacentral:rRNA from 1 species
GAUGAACGCUGGCUGUAUGGAUGAGUCAUGCAAGUCGAACGGUCCGCAAGGACAGUGGCAAACGAGGUAGUAACGCGUACGAACGUACUCCCAAGUCGGGCAUAGCUUGUCGAAAGACAAGGUAAUUCCCGAUGGUCCCUACGGGGUAAAGAUUUAUCGCUUGGGAAGCGGCGUGCGCUGUAUCAGCUUGUUGGUAAGGUAACGGCUUACCAAGGCUACGACGCAUAGGGGAGGUGAGAGCCUGACCCCCACCGAUGGGACUGAGAACGGCCCGUACCCCUACGGGGGGCAGCAGACGAGAAUACUCCGCAAUGGACGCAAGUCUGACGGGGCGAUACAGCGUGGUGGAUGAAGUGCUUCGGUACGUAAACACCUUUUAUGUGGGACGAAAUUAUUGACGGUACCACAUGAAUAAGGGGCUCCUAACUCUGUGCCAGCAGGAGCGGUAAUACAGAGGCCUCAAGCGUUAUCCGGAAUCAUUGGGCGUAAAGCGUGUCAAGGGGGUUAUGUUAGUCUUCCGUAAAAUCCAGGAGCUCAACUUCUGGUCCGCGGGAGAUACGGCAUGGCUCGAGGUUGGAAGAGGUGCGUGGAACUCACGGUGUAGGGGUGAAAUCCGUUGAUAUCGUGGGGAACACCAAAGGCGAAGGCAGCGCACUGGUCCAAAUCUUGACUGCUCACACACGAAAGCCAGGGUAGCGAAUGGGAUUAGAUACCCCAGUAGUCCUGGCCCUAAACGUUGCUCGCUCGUUCUACGGAGUAUCGACCCUCUGUGGGACUAAGCUAACGCGGUAAGCGAGCCGCCUGGGUAGUACGAUCGCAAGAUUAAAACUCAAAGGAAUAGACGGGGACUCGCACAAGCGGUGGAUCAUGUGGCUUAAUUCGUAGCUAAGCGAAGAACCUUACCAGGGCUAGAAACCAAGCUGCACGCCUCCAGAAACGGAGGAAGCCUUCGAGGGUGCUUGGCAGGUGAUGCAUGGUUGUCGUCAGUUCGUGGCUUGAGCUGUUCCCUUCAGUGGGGCAACG